UACCAGCUCUCCGAGUGGUAGGGAUGAUUAUUGGGCUUAAAGCGUCCGUAGCCGGCUUAGCAAGUUUCCUGUUAAAUUCAGCGACCUAAUCGUUGAGCCGCGGGAAAUACUACUAGGCUAGGAGGCGGGAGAGGUCGACGGUACUUCUGGGGUAGGGGUGAAAUCCUAUAAUCCCGGGAGGACCACCAGUGGCGAAGGCUGUCGACUAGAACGCGCUCGACGGUGAGGGACGAAAGCUGGGGGAGCGAACCGGAUUAGAUACCCGGGUAGUCCCAGCUGUAAACGAUGCGGGCUAGGUGUUGGGGUGGCUACGUGCCACUUCAGUGCCGCAGGGAAGCCAUUAAGCCUGCCGCCUGGGGAGUACGGCCGCAAGGCUGAAACUUAAAGGAAUUGGCGGGGGAGCACCACAAGGGGUGAAGCUUGCGGUUU
rnacentral:rRNA from 1 species